AUUACUUUAAUAGGAAUGGAUUGGGUUUGGCAAGCGUGGAUACAAGAAAUGUGCAUGGUGUAGAUCGAUCUGAUUUACCCGGACCAAAGCCAGGCUGGGCCUGCCCAGAGAUCAAGAGUAGGAGAAAUUCUGUAAACGCCUAACUGGAAACCCAUAUGAUCGGUCGUCUCGUCGCCUUGGAACAAUCGCGAAAUCGGAGCUCGGAGCCCCGUGUCUGGUUUCGAACACACAUGACGACUGCUGACUGAUGACCCAACUCUUUUUUAUUUUUCUUUAAAAGUUUGUUUUAAAGACCUUGUUUGGCUACAGUUUAGGAGCAGUUUUUAAAGCUCUAAAUAGUGUUAACUUUUCCAGAUCAUAGAAAAAAGAAAAUAGUAGAUAGGAAAAGAUGGGAACAGAGGUAUCAAUGUGCAGCAGCAAUGUGAAGGCGGAGCUGACGCCAGAGGAAGAGAGAGUUUUGAUUAGGGACAUUGCGAUUGCUGCCGAAUCUAAUAGCAAAGAAGGCGAUUACUUCUAUUUAAUCACUCAGAGAUGGUGGCAACAUUGGAUUGAAUAUGUGAACCAUGAGCAGCCAAAUACUGCAAAUGAUGGUUCUUCUUCGACCGAGUAUUGUGAUUUGGUUGGUUCUUCAAAGAAGCCUGCUAGUAUUGAUAAUUCCGAUUUGAUUUAUGAUGCAACCACGAUAGAUGAUUCCCAUGUGGCCGGCAUUGAGGUUCAUGAUAGUCUAUUAGAAGGCCGUGAUUAUGUAUUGCUUCCGCAAGAAGUUUGGAAACAGUUAUAUUCAUGGUAUGGCGGUGGCCCAACAUUGGCACGUAAAGUAAUCUGCUCAGGUCUUUCUCGGACAGAAUUAGCUGUUGAGGUGUAUCCUCUCCGUCUUCAACUGCUGGUUAUGCCUAAGGGUGAUCGUUCUACGAUAAGAAUAAGCAAGAAGGAAACGAUCGGACAGCUUCACAAAAGAGCUUGUGAGAUCUUUGAUCUCAACUCAGAACAAUUGCGCAUUUGGGAUUAUUAUGGCCAGCGAAAGCAUGCCUUGAUGAAUGAUAUGGAUAAAACACUUGAUGAUGCUAACAUACAGAUGGAUCAGGAUAUUCUGGUGGAGGUUCUUAACAAUGUCAAUGGAGGUUUAUCUGCAAGCAAGGGUGGUUCUAGAAGUUGCAUUGCGGAGGUGCCACAAGGCCAGAACCUGAUAUCUCCAGGUGGAGAGUUGGAUAACACAUAUGGAGCUACUGGUGUCAGUACAAGGGGGUCUUCUGGUGGCCUGACUGGGCUGCAGAACCUAGGAAACACAUGCUUUAUGAAUAGUGCAAUACAAUGCCUUGUUCAUACUCCUGAGUUUGUUAAAUACUUCCGGGAGGAUUAUCAUCAAGAGAUAAAUUGGCAAAACCCCUUGGGAAUGGUGGGUGAGCUAGCAAUAGCAUUUGGUGAGUUACUGCGAAAGCUAUGGGCACCUGGCCGAGCACCAGUUCCUCCUCGCCAAUUUAAAGCCAAGCUGGCUCGUUUUGCACCUCAAUUUAGUGGCUAUAAUCAACAUGAUUCUCAGGAGCUUCUAGCGUUUCUCCUAGAUGGCCUUCAUGAAGACCUGAAUCGUGUCAAACAUAAACCUUACAUAAAGUCUAAAGAUGCUGAUGGUCGUCCUGAUGAAGAAGUUGCUGAUGAGUACUGGGCAAAUCACAUUGCUCGUAAUGAUUCAAUAAUAGUUGACGUUUGCCAAGGUCAAUACAAGUCAACUUUGGUUUGCCCAGUGUGCAACAAAGUCUCCGUCACAUUUGAUCCUUUCAUGUAUCUUUCUUUGCCACUCCAAUCCACUACUACACGGUCUAUUACAGUGACAAUUUUUACUGGUGAUGGAAGCACUCUUCCAUUUCCUUGUACAGUCACUGUUCCGAAGCAGGGACGUUGUAGGGACUUGAUCCAUGCACUUAGCAAUUCUUGCUCCUUAAAGAACAAUGAAGAUCUUCAACUUGCCGAGGUUUAUCACGUAAGAAACCAUUUAUUUCAAAGGUUUCUUGAAGACCCUUUAAUAUCUUUAUCCACAAUCAAAGACGAUGAUCAUCUUGCUGCCUACAAGAUUCCAAAGUCAUCAAAGAAAAAACUUAUACUAAGGUUGAUUCAUCGCCACCAAGAUCGGGAAACUAAUGAUACCCAAACUGCAACACGGUGGAAACCUUGUGGAAUACCUCUUUUAUCAUCAAUUCCAUGUGAUGAUGUAAUUACAAGAGGUGAUGUACAGACUGUAGUUCACAAAAUGCUCUCCCCUUUUCUGAGAGCUGAGAGCUUAAGACAUGAUGACAUUGCUGAUUCCAACACCUUGGUAUCAGCAUCAGAUGAAUGCCAUGAUAGUAGUGGCGAAGCAAGUACUGAUCCUGUGUCAGAUAAGGACAGUAGUAGUUCCAAGGCAUUGAUGUUAUUAAAACUACCUCUUCAGUUGGUUGAUGAAAGUGAUGCAUGCAUUGAUCUUUCAGUGGGAGAAGAGAAAGCGAUUAAAUUGUCCUCAUCAACAACAUCAAUAGUAGUAUAUUUAGAUUGGUCACAGGAACUGUUAAAGAAAUAUGAUAUGAAUUACAUGGAAAACUUGCCUGAAGUGCUAAAGUAUGGACCUAUAAAUAAGAAAGCUCGUACUGAACCUCUCUCCUUGUACACCUGUCUAGAAGCUUUUCUGCGUGAAGAGCCCUUGGUACCUGAAGACAUGUGGUAUUGCCCACAAUGCAAAGAACGUCGGCAAGCAAGUAAAAAACUUGACUUAUGGAGGCUUCCUGAAGUUUUAGUGAUCCACUUGAAGAGAUUCUCAUAUAGCAGGUCAAUGAAGCAUAAACUGGAAACUUUUGUCAACUUCCCCAUUCAUGAUUUGGAUUUGACAAGUUAUGUAGCCAACAAGAACAGCAUACGGCGUCAGCUCUAUGAGCUUUAUGCUUUAACCAACCAUUAUGGUGGCAUGGGAAGUGGGCACUACACAGCACGUAUCAAGGUGGUACAACUUUGAUGACAGCCACAUAUCACUCAUAAAUGAAGAAGAUGUGAAGUCGGCUGCUGCAUAUGUUCUUUUCUACCGCAGGGUAAAGGCUGAUAGCGCCAUUAACAAUGGAGGACAGUCUGGUGAAGGUUGUUGUUCAUCUCAAAAGUGAACUUCAAGAAAAUUCGUUUUUCUUGACACACAGUUGCUAGAACCAGUGUUCAGCAAAUGUUAAUUAUGACUCUACCUUGAAGAGACGAGAAGCCAGCUUGCUGUUACUAUUGGUGUUGUAGGAUAGUUAUCUGAUAAUGUUAUGCACUGCAAUGAAGGAAUUUGUGAAGGCAAUUUACUAGCAACAUCAGGAAAACAUCCACAAUGAUUCUGAAGUUUAAUUCUUAGGGCGCAUUGCCUUCCAGGCAGUAAUGACUGUUACUAUAUUAUUUGUAGGCCGUGAUGCUUUCUGGGCUGGAAUUUUGUGUACUAAUUUAACAUGGAAGAGAGGAGUCAAUAGGACUUGUAGUAGGACCAUUAAUCUUUGUUUUGUAUUAUUAUCAGUAUCACCUUUUUCUUUCUCCCUUUUGAUCUUUAGGAAUUCACAUCCCUCUUCUUUAGGAUAUGGAGGAACAGACGCAUACCUCCUACCUCAUAACAUUAUUUAAUAGGAAUCAGCCUGUCAAAUUGGUUGCACGUUGUCUGAUACUGCGUUUGUGCUGAAAGAGGAUUAUGAGCUCAUCUUAUCCUAUAAUUUGUCUGAUUA